AUGGUGGUGCGGCAGUUCAUGUUACCCAGCGACUCCCGCAGCAGCAUGGUCAGCUUGCUGUCUCUGCAGCACACAAAAGCAGCACGUCUCCUGUUCAAGCCGGCCAGCUACCAAGACAAUUCCCAGUGGCUCACCUGAGCUGCAUAUGACUGAGUGGAUGGAAAGAAUCCUUGCUUGCUUUUGAUGCACCAUUCUAAAGCAGGCAUCUCAGCGCCCAUACCCAAUGGUGCAGAAAGCACAGACGGUGGAAGCUGGGGAUGAAUCGGAAUCAGGCUCAUUUGGGGAGUGUGUGGGAACUAUCUCCGGUGGACUGAGUCAUCUAAGAGAGAAACGACCAAUUCCAAACGGACAGCCUCUUGAACGUAGACCACCGACGAGGCGACCACAUGCACAAAAAGAAAGCAGAAGUCCUUACCUUGCAAAGAAAGAAGCGGCUGCCGACGUGCCACUGGAGGGCGCCGAGCAGACAGACCGGUCAAACUGAAGACCAUCCCAUGAAGACCCACGGAACACAAUCACAAUAAGGUAAUCUCCUCCCCUUGAGAUAAUCUGGGUUUCCAGAGUUGACCUAAUAAUAGCCAAGCUCUACAUACAGAGGCAAAGUCUGCUGGUAGAUGCAGGACACUGGGGGAAAGUCCAACUACACGUUCAUUGGGGAAGAACUUCAGUGUCCCUGUCUCUGGGCACAUCUCAGCUGAGGAAAAACACACUCACUCUUCAAAAGCUGCUUUGAUAUUUGCAUGUCUGUUGAUACCCUAACUCACAGACGCACACCCAUAAAUUGAGUAAUGGGUGAAAAAACAAAAUAUUGUUCUAUGGUCUCUUAAUUUUGUGCAGAAUU